rnacentral:misc_RNA from 1 species
UCCGAGUUGUCCCCGGCAGUCUCCCACGAGUCCCCGGCAUUACCCGCAGGCAACAUGGGACAAGGGUUGCGCUCGUUGCGGGACUUAACCCAACAUCUCACGACACGAGCUGACGACAGCCAUGCACCACCUGCAUGAGUUUCCACAAGGGACCCGACAUCUCUGCCGGAUUAACUCACAUGUCAAACCCAGGUAAGGUUCUUCGCGUUGCCUCGAAUUAAGCAACAUGUUCCGCCGCUUGUGCGGGCCCCCGUCAAUUCCUUUGAGUUUCACCCUUGCGGGCGUACUCCCCAGGUGGAUCACUUAACGCUUUCGCUUGGCCACUACACCACAUGGGCAUAACAGCGAGUGAUCAUCGUUUACGGCGCGGACUAC